ensembl:lncRNA
CUUUAUAUUCAAGCUCCUUUGUGGGCAGGAACUUCACAAUAUUCACGUGUAAUUACAUGUCCUCACUCUCAGUAUAGAGCCUCGCACAUGAGCAACUGAUUUUGUUUGAGUUCCUAUUCAACUGAGCUGGUAAAAAUAUUUCUUAAUUUUUAUCGGGGAUUUCCUGCCCGCAACUGCUUCUAUACCCUUGAGGUAUACAGUGGGCCGAGAAGAAAGGUUUUAUGAUGCAGUGGCAUUUUCCCUGCUCAGCCUCCUCCGUGGAUGCUUCCUCAUCCCACGUUUAAUGAGGAGGCUGCAGAGAGUCCAUCUGAGAGAUGUGGGUGCUCUGGGACCUUGUGUCUGACCCACACCUGAAGAGUCUUAUGGAUAAGAGGUUUUGCUAUUUUCCUAGUGGUGGAGCGAAGAAGUGGCCACUUUAGGGGCAAGAUGUACUUCCUGGUGUCCUAACCUAGCUCAAGACUUCAUCCUGGGGUAGAGGAAGGUGUUACAAAAGACCGCCGUGCCGCGUUACAAGGAUACUGGAACUUCCUCAUAGCAAGGAAUGGAAGCCUCAAGCCAACAAUCAUGUUAAUUAAACCAUUUUGGAAGCAGUUUUCAGCCUUAGCCAAGCCUUUGGAUGACUUAUUUCCAGGCCAACUGCUUUACUACAGCCUCCUGAAAUACACUGAGCCAGAACUGCCUAGCUAAGCUGGUCCUGAAUUCCGGAGCCCAGGAACCAUGUGCCAAAUAAUAUUAACCAAAUAAUAAAUGUUUAUUGUUUGAAGGUGCUAAGUUUUAGGGUAUUUUAUGUAUAUCUAUGUGGUAACAGGUAACUCAUACUUCCUAUUAAAAGAAGUUUAGUCAAAUGUUCCCAAAGGUAAUCACUGAAGGGUCCACAAAAGCAGACCAUUAGAGAAAAAAGCCAGUUUUGAACAUUUACCAAUUCCAAGGGCACCAAUGGAUGAUGACAAUAGUAUCAAUCUGGGUGCAUCUUUUCUUCUCUCUGCUCCCUCCUGAGUCUCUGCCCAAACACCUCCUUACACCCUGGGUUAGCCAGCUGGGGAGUAACAGAGAAAUAGGAGAUCAGACAGAAAAAAGACGCUCACCUCCAAAAUC